rnacentral:tRNA from 1 species
GCGAGUGUUGUAUAGUGGUAAUACCUCAGCCUUCCAAGCUGAUGCUGUCGGUUCGAUUCCGUCCACUCGCU